UACGUAGGGAGCAAGCGUUGUCCGGAAUCAUUGGGCGUAAAGCGCGCGUAGGCGGCCUCAUAAGUCCGUUGUGAAAGUCAAAGGCUCAACCUUUGAAAGCCGAUGGAUACUGUGAGGCUAGAGUCCGGAAGAGGCGAGUGGAAUUCCUGGUGUAGCGGUGAAAUGCGUAGAUAUCAGGAGGAACACCCGUGGUGCAGACGGCUUGCUGGACCUCCACUGACGCUGAGGCACGAAAGCGUGGGGAGCAAACAGG
rnacentral:rRNA from 1 species